UAGAUACCCUAUUAUUUUAAAUAAAAACAAAUUUACUAGAGUUUUAGUAGUUAUGUUCUUGAAACUUAAAAAAUUUGGCGGUAUUUUAGUCUAUUCAGAGGAACCUGUUGUAUAAUCGAUAAUCCACGAUGGACCUUACUUAAUUUUGUUUUUCAAUUUAUAUAUCGCUGUUAUAGAAUAUUUUUUAAGAAUGAUAAUUUUCAAUUAAUUUAAUUAAAUUAUAUAUCAAGUCAAGGUGUAGUUUAUAAUUAAGUAUUUUAUGGGUUACAAUAAAUUUAUUUAAAAUGAAUUAAAGAUUGCAAUAUUUUUAUGAAAGUGGAUUUGAUAGUAAAUUUUAAAAGAUUAUAAAAUUGAUUUUAGCUCUAAAAUAUGUACACAUCGCCG
rnacentral:rRNA from 1 species